GGAGGGAUGGCCGAGUGGCUUAAGGCGGCGGUCUUGAAAACCGCUUCUCAGAAAUGGGACGUGGGUUCGAAUCCUACUCCCUCCG
rnacentral:tRNA from 1 species